rnacentral:rRNA from 1 species
AUUGAACGCUGGCGGCAUGCCUUACACAUGCAAGUCGAACGGUAACAGGUCUUCGGAUGCUGACGAGUGGCGAACGGGUGAGUAAUACAUCGGAACGUGCCUAGUAGUGGGGGAUAACUACUCGAAAGAGUGGCUAAUACCGCAUGAGAUCUACGGAUGAAAGCAGGGGAUCGCAAGACCUUGUGCUACUAGAGCGGCCGAUGGCAGAUUAGGUAGUUGGUGGGAUAAAAGCUUACCAAGCCGACGAUCUGUAGCUGGUCUGAGAGGACGAUCAGCCACACUGGGACUGCGUCACGGCGCAGACUCCUACGGUAGGCAGCAGUGGGGAAUUUUGGACAAUGGGCGCAAGCCUGAUCCAGCAAUGCCGCGUGCAGGAUGAAGGCCUUCGUGUUGUAAACUGCUUUUGUACGGAACGAAAAGCCCCGGGUUAAUACCCUGGGGUCAUGACGGUACCGUAAGAAUAAGCACCGGCUAACUACGUGCCAGCAGCCGCGGUAA